UACGGGGGGGCAAGCGGUUGUUCGGAAUUACUGGGCGUAAAGGGCUCGUAGGCGGCCAACUAAGUCGGAUGUGAAAUCUCCCGGCUUAACUGGGAGGGUGCGCCGAAAACUGGAAGGCUUGAGUAUGGGAGAGGUAAGCGGAAUUCCUGGUGUAGCGGUGAAAUGCGUAGAUAUCUGGAGGAACACCGGUGGCGAAGGCGGCAUCCUGGACCGGCAUUGACGCUGAGGCGCGAAAGCCAGGGGAGCAAAGCGGG
rnacentral:rRNA from 1 species